rnacentral:lncRNA from 1 species
CUUAAAUGCCUAAACUCCUAUUAAUUGAGAUCAACAGAGUUCCUACGUGCUCUAAAAGUUGUCAAUUGGGAUAAAUAGAGCAAAUAGUGAGUUCAGGAUGACUUAAUUAAUAUUAUUUGGAACUGACCUUUUAUUAAUUGGGACAUUUUGGUAACACUAAUAAUGGGUCAAUAGCUCCGGUAGAACAAAUAUUACAAGUUAGUGCCACUUGAGAUAUUUGUUACUACCACUUCACCACUUUCUAACCACACAAAUAAGCAUGGCCACUUGUUA